rnacentral:rRNA from 1 species
GAUGAACGCUGGCGGCGUGCCUAAUACAUGCAAGUCGAGCAACGGACGAGAAGCUUGCUUCUCUGAUGUUAGCGGCGGACGGGUGAGUAACACGUGGAUAACCUACCUAUAAGACUGGGAUAACUUCGGGAAACCGGAGCUAAUACCGGAUAAUAUUUUGAACCGCAUGGUUCAAAAGUGAAAGACGGUCUUGCUGUCACUUAUAGAUGGAUCCGCGCUGCAUUAGCUAGUUGGUAAGGUAACGGCUUACCAAGGCAACGAUGCAUAGCCGACCUGAGAGGGUGAUCGGCCACACUGGAACUGAGACACGGUCCAGACUCCUACGGGAGGCAGCAGUAGGGAAUCUUCCGCAAUGGGCGAAAGCCUGACGGAGCAACGCCGCGUGAGUGAUGAAGGUCUUCGGAUCGUAAAACUCUGUUAUUAGGGAAGAACAUAUGUGUAAGUAACUGUGCACAUCUUGACGGUACCUAAUCAGAAAGCCACGGCUAACUACGUG